rnacentral:rRNA from 1 species
ACAGCAGUAGCCACGGUAAUACAGAGGAUGCAAGCGUUAUCCGGAAUGAUUGGGCGUAAAGCGUCUGUAGGUGGCUUUUCAAGUCCGCCGUCAAAUCCUAGGGCUCAACCCUGGACAGGCGGUAGAAACUACCAAGCUGGAGUACGGUAGGGGCAAAGGGAAUUUCUGGUGGAGCAGUGAAAUGCGUUGAGAUUAGAAAGAACACCAACAAUGAAAGCACUCUGCUGGGCCGACACUAACAUUAAGAGACGGAAGCUAGGGGAGCAAAUGGGAUUAGAUACCCCCGUAGUCCCUGUCUCUUAUAC